UACGUAGGGGGCAAGCGUUGUCCGGAUUUAUUGGGCGUAAAGAGCGUGUCGGCGGUCAGGUAGGUCGGUUGUGAAAACUGGAGGCUCAACCUUCAGAGGUCGACCGAAACCCCCUGGCUAGAGUCCGGGAGAGGAGAGUGGAAUUCCUGGUGUAGCGGUGAAAUGCGCAGAUAUCAGGAAGAACACCCGUGGCGAAAGCGGCUCUCUGGAACGGUACUGACGCUGAGACGCGAAAGCGUGGGGAGCGAACAGG
rnacentral:rRNA from 1 species